UACGUAGGGUGCGAGCGUUAAUCGGAAUUACUGGGCGUAAAGCGUGCGCAGGCGGUUCGUUAAGUUCGUCGUGAAAGCCCCGGGCUCAACCUGGGAACUGCGAUGGAAACUGGCGGGCUUGAGUGUGGCAGAGGGGGGUGGAAUUCCGCGUGUAGCAGUGAAAUGCGUAGAGAUGCGGAGGAACACCGAUGGCGAAGGCAGCCCCCUGGGCCAACACUGACGCUCAGGCACGAAAGCGUGGGGAGCAAACAGG
rnacentral:rRNA from 1 species